UGAAAACAUGGAGUAUGAUUUCAAGACUCGCUGCUAUCGAAUACAGAUCGCCCCGUGAUCAAUUUGAUAGAUUAUUAACGUUUAUUAAUACCUAAAGUUGGUUUAGAUAAGUAGUUUGAAGUGAUUUGUAAAAGUUUAUAGGCAACUUUUGUAAUUUUAAAAAGUUACGUUGCGUCUUGUAAAGGGGCAUUUUUCUGGAUCAGACCGGUCUUCAGCAAAUCACAUUUUGGGUAUACAAUGACGGAUUUAAUCGGGGAAAAGACCCAAUUGUGAUGUUUAUGUGACAUAUAGAAGUGCCAAGAAAGAAGCUCGUCAAAGGACCUGAGCCCUAGGACCAUGCCUCAGGACUACCUGACAUGAUGACUCCUUGCUGUCCCCAGUCCACCUGGCCGUGCUGCUGCUCCAGUUUCAACUGUUCUGCCUUAUUAUUAUUAUUGGACCAUGCUGGUCAUUUAUGAACAUUUGAAUAUCUUGGCCAUGUUCUGUUAUAAACUCCACCCGGCACAGCCAGAAGAGGACUGGCCACCCCACAUAGCCUGGUUCCUCUCUAGGUUCCUUCCUAGGUUUUGGCCUUUCUAGGGAGUUUUUCCUAGACACCGUUCCUUAUCUCCGGAUAGACCUGAGCCCUAGGACCAUGCCUCAGGACUACCUGGCCUGAUGACUCCUUGCUGUUCCCAGUUCACCUACUCGUGCUGCUGCUCCAGUUUCAACUGUUCUGCCUGCGGCUAUGGAACCCUGACCUGUUCACCAGACUUGCUACCUUGUCCCAGACCUGCUGUUUUAAACUCUCUAGGGACAGCAGGUGCGGUAGAGAUACUCUGAAUGAUCAACUAUGAAAAGCCAACUGACAUUUACUCCUGAGGUGCUGACCUGUUGCACCCUCUACAACCACUGUGAUUAUUAUUAUCUGACCCUGCUGGUCAUCUAUGAACAUUUGAACAUCUUGG
ensembl:lncRNA